ensembl:snoRNA
UUCUCUUAUGGAUAGGUGCAAAAAAUAAAUCCUCUUUUGCAACCCAGAACUCAUUGUUCAGUAUGAGUUUUGAUACAUAUAAGAAGGGAUAUU